UACAACCUUCAAACCGCUUUGUAUUUUCUUCCGUCGAUCCCCGGUCUCUGUUUUGCUCGCAGAUUUCACCAUCAGCUUUUUCUCUUCCCCAGAUCUCUUAAAUCAUCGAAACCAUAGUCCCAGAUGCUAUAAUCAGUUACUUUGUAAAUCUGAGGAAGAUAGAAAGUAAAAAUGGUGAAGCUGACAAUGAUUGCCCGAGUUACCGAUGGGCUUCCACUAGCUGAGGGAUUGGAUGAUGGCCGUGAUGUGAAAGACAUUGAAAUGUACAAACAACAAGCAAAGGCUCUAUUUAAGAAUCUUGCUAUGCGUCAAAAUGAGCCUUCGAGGAUGUCCAUUGAAACUGGUCCUUAUGUCUUCCAUUAUAUUAUUGAAGGACAUGUUUGUUACCUCACAAUGUGUGACCGUUCGUAUCCUAAGAAGCUAGCCUUUCAGUACUUGGAAGACCUGAAAAAUGAAUUUGAGCGUGUUAAUGGGGCUCAGAUUGAAACUGCUGCUAGACCAUACGCCUUCAUCAAAUUUGAUACUUUCAUACAGAAAACAAAGAAAUUGUACCAAGACACCCGUACUCAGCGGAAUAUUGCAAAGUUGAAUGAUGAACUCUAUGAAGUUCACCAAAUAAUGACUCGUAAUGUGCAGGAAGUACUUGGUGUUGGUGAAAAACUAGACCAGGUCAGCAUAUAUGCGAGAUUCUGAUGUUAACCGACUGGACAUUUCGCUGACCGCUGACAAGGCAAGAGAUUUGAAUAGGCAGGCCUUAAUUAGGAAGUGGGCUCCUGUUGCCAUCGUGUUAGGAGUUGUUUUCCUCCUUUUCUGGAUUAAAACGAAAAUCUGGUGAUCCUUUGCCUUCUUUGGCUUCUGAGAAUUGUUGCAUCAUUUUCCUGGGUUUCUCUAUAUUGCUGUCAGUUACUUGUGUUCAUGGUGAAUCAUCUGAACUUGGGGGACUUCUGAAUGGGAACUAGAUGCAUGUGAAGACUUAAAUCACGUUUCAAGCUGGACUGUAGUUUUUAUUCAUGGGACACUCUGGUUAAAAGGAUUUGUUCUUUAAGGAGCUCCCAACGACCAUUUGGAGAUAUGAAAGAGAGAGACCCUUUGAUUUACAAGUUAAGGAGCAAAAAUACAUUGAAUACGAGAAAAUUUCUAUAUUCUCAAUGCUUUAUAGA
rnacentral:misc_RNA from 1 species